UCGAAUAUAUCCUCGCAGUCUCCAAUCUGGGUGGGAGCCCACUACACAUACGCUGUGUACUCCCACCCGUGCUGAGAGAGUUGCACCAAAUGGAGAUGAUGGCGUUUGGCUGGCUCGAGAUAGCACAUGGUAAUGGAAGCGCAUGAUCGAACUUCUCCGGGUCAGGGAAAUACUGGGCGUCGUGGUGCAUGGCAUAGACUGGAAUAGCGACGACGCAUCCCUCAGGAACGACGAUGCUUGUGCCAUCAAUCCUGUACUGUUCUGUUGUAGAACGCUCAAUCCUAGAAUGAAUACAAGUACGUGACAUUUCGU